AAAUUGAAGAGUUUGAUCAUGGCUCAGAUUGAACGCUGGCGGCAGGCCUAACACAUGCAAGUCGAGCGGUAGCACAGAGAGCUUGCUCUCGGGUGACGAGCGGCGGACGGGUGAGUAAUGUCUGGGAAACUGCCUGAUGGAGGGGGAUAACUACUGGAAACGGUAGCUAAUACCGCAUAAUGUCGCAAGACCAAAGUGGGGGACCUUCGGGCCUCAUGCCAUCAGAUGUGCCCAGAUGGGAUUAGCUAGUAGGUGGGGUAACGGCUCACCUAGGCGACGAUCCCUAGCUGGUCUGAGAGGAUGACCAGCCACACUGGAACUGAGACACGGUCCAGACUCCUACGGGAGGCAGCAGUGGGGAAUAUUGCACAAUGGGCGCAAGCCUGAUGCAGCCAUGCCGCGUGUGUGAAGAAGGCCUUCGGGUUGUAAAGCACUUUCAGCGGGGAGGAAGGCGGUGAGGUUAAUAACCUCACCGAUUGACGUUACCCGCAGAAGAAGCACCGGCUAACUCCGUGCCAGCAGCCGCGGUAAUACGGAGGGUGCAAGCGUUAAUCGGAAUUACUGGGCGUAAAGCGCACGCAGGCGGUCUGUCAAGUCGGAUGUGAAAUCCCCGGGCUUAACCUGGGAACUGCAUUCGAAACUGGCAGGCUAGAGUCUUGUAGAGGGGGGUAGAAUUCCAGGUGUAGCGGUGAAAUGCGUAGAGAUCUGGAGGAAUACCGGUGGCGAAGGCGGCCCCCUGGACAAAGACUGACGCUCAGGUGCGAAAGCGUGGGGAGCAAACAGGAUUAGAUACCCUGGUAGUCCACGCCGUAAACGAUGUCGAUUUGGAGGUUGUGCCCUUGAGGCGUGGCUUCCGGAGCUAACGCGUUAAAUCGACCGCCUGGGGAGUACGGCCGCAAGGUUAAAACUCAAAUGAAUUGACGGGGGCCCGCACAAGCGGUGGAGCAUGUGGUUUAAUUCGAUGCAACGCGAAGAACCUUACCUGGUCUUGACAUCCACAGAACUUUCCAGAGAUGGAUUGGUGCCUUCGGGAACUGUGAGACAGGUGCUGCAUGGCUGUCGUCAGCUCGUGUUGUGAAAUGUUGGGUUAAGUCCCGCAACGAGCGCAACCCUUAUCCUUUGUUGCCAGCGGUCCGGCCGGGAACUCAAAGGAGACUGCCAGUGAUAAACUGGAGGAAGGUGGGGAUGACGUCAAGUCAUCAUGGCCCUUACGACCAGGGCUACACACGUGCUACAAUGGCAUAUACAAAGAGAAGCGACCUCGCGAGAGCAAGCGGACCUCAUAAAGUAUGUCGUAGUCCGGAUUGGAGUCUGCAACUCGACUCCAUGAAGUCGGAAUCGCUAGUAAUCGUAGAUCAGAAUGCUACGGUGAAUACGUUCCCGGGCCUUGUACACACCGCCCGUCACACCAUGGGAGUGGGUUGCAAAAGAAGUAGGUAGCUUAACCUUCGGGAGGGCGCUUACCACUUUGUGAUUCAUGACUGGGGUGAAGUCGUAACAAGGUAACCGUAGGGGAACCUGCGGUUGGAUCACCUCCUUACCUUAAAGAA
rnacentral:rRNA from 1 species